UACGUAGGGUGCAAGCGUUGUCCGGAAUUAUUGGGCGUAAAGAGCUCGUAGGCGGUUUGUCGCGUCGGGAGUGAAAUCCAUUGGCUUAACUGGUGGCUUGCUUUCGAUACGGGCAGACUGGAGGUAUGCAGGGGGAGAACGGAAUUCCUGGUGUAGCGGUGAAAUGCGCAGAUAUCAGGAGGAACACCGGUGGCGAAGGCGGUUCUCUGGGCAUGUCCUGACGCUGAGGAGCGAAAGCAUGGGGAGCGAACAGG
rnacentral:rRNA from 1 species